rnacentral:rRNA from 1 species
AGGAGAGUUUGAUCCUGGCUCAGGAUGAACGCUAGCUACAGGCUUAACACAUGCAAGUCGAGGGGCAUCAUGAGAGGACUUCGGUCCUUUCGAUGGCGACCGGCGAAUGGGUGAGUAACACGUAUCCAACCUGCCCCUGACCGGGGGAUAGCCCUCCGAAAGGAGAAUUAACACCCCAUGGGUGUCCGUGCGGCAUCGCGCGGCCAUGAAAGGUUACGGUCAGGGAUGGGGAUGCGUCCGAUUAGCUUGCUGGCGGGGUAACGGCCCACCAGGGCGUCGAUCGGUAGGGGUUCUGAGAGGAAGGUCCCCCACACUGGAACUGAGACACGGUCCAGACUCCUACGGGAGGCAGCAGUGAGGAAUAUUGGUCAAUGGGCGGAAGCCUGAACCAGCCAAGUAGCGUGAAGGAUGACGGCCCUACGGGUUGUAAACUUCUUUUAUGCGGGAACAAAGUGCGCCACGCGUGGCGUUUUGCGCGUACCGCAGGAAAAAGCACCGGCUAAUUCCGUGCCAGCAGCCGCGGUAAUACGGAAGGUGCGAGCGUUAUCCGGAUUCAUUGGGUUUAAAGGGAGCGUAGGCGGAGCGCCAAGUCAGCUGUGAAAUCCCGCGGCUCAACCGUGGAACUGCAGUUGAAACUGGCGCCCUUGAGUGCACAUGAGGAUGGUGGAAUUCGUGGUGUAGCGGUGAAAUGCUUAGAUAUCACGAAGAACUCCGAUUGCGAAGGCAGCUGUCUGGGGUGCCACUGACGCUGAGGCUCGAAAGUGCGGGUAUCAAACAGGAUUAGAUACCCUGGUAGUCCCCU